UACGAAGGGGGCUAGCGUUGCUCGGAAUUACUGGGCGUAAAGGGUGCGUAGGCGGCGCGGUAAGUCGGGUGUGAAAUCUCGGAGCUUAACUCCGAAACUGCAUUCGAUACUGCGGUGCUUGAGGACUGGAGAGGAGACUGGAAUUCAUGGUGUAGCAGUGAAAUGCGUAGAGAUCAUGAGGAAGACCAGUGGCGAAGGCGGGUCUCUGGACAGUUCCUGACACUGAGACACGAAGGCCAGGGGAGCAAACGGG
rnacentral:rRNA from 1 species